GACAGAGGGUGCAAACGUUGUUCGGAUUUACUGGGCGUAAAGCGCGUGUAGGCGGCUUUGCAAGUCGGAUGUGAAAGCCCACGGCUCAACCGUGGAAGUGCAUCCGAAACUGCAUGGCUUGAGUCCCGGAGAGGAAGGUGGAAUGCUUGGUGUAGAGGUGAAAUUCGUAGAUAUCAAGCAGAACACCGGUGGCGAAGGCGGCAUCCUGGACCGAUACUGACGCUGAGGAGCGAAAGCCAGGGGAGCAAACGGG
rnacentral:rRNA from 1 species